AACUUUGAAAAAUAAUCAACAUCUGAAUGGAACUAAAAUCUUGAAAUCUCAACAUCAUAAGACACGUUGAGGGAGAGAAUAAAAUGAAGAUCACUCAAAAGAAUUUGUGGUAGACAGCAGCUAUUGCUAGGUAGUACAAUGGAGGAGAGGCAGUGGGGAAGCAGAACCUGUGGCGGAAGAAUGAGGCAUGAGCCUGAGAGGCAGCGCUUGUGCUGGUUCUUUCGGAUGGCAGAACACAAUACUUGGAUACAUUUGGAAGGCAGAAUUCUUCAUUACGACUCUAAAUGAGAGGAGGCUGCCAGGCAGGACCACCCAGGGAAUUGUACACAGAGGGAACAAAGAAAGGGCUCUGGACUUUCAUGUGUGGAGCGGUUGGAAUCAAGAAUGCUGAUUGGAUUUCCUGCUGUUGGCAAUCAUAUAUCCCAAGGCAUUUGCACGUAAGGUUCUCCAAUUUCAGCAAAUAUGUCCAGACAAAAGGUGUAUUCUUACAAAUGGAGACAGACUCAGACCAAAUAAAACAUUUUUUUUUCUUUUAGAUACAUUGAAGUGCUACAAUUGUAUGUUCUCCAACAAAAAAUUAUAAAGAAAGUAAAUUACUUUCCUAUGAUGCAUUUGAAACUUCUCUAUUGGUAUAAAACUUUGCACUUUAUUUAUAGUAACCUGGAUACAAUUCUUUCUUCAGAGUAUCUCAAAUGUCAACUAGACUUGUUAGCAUCAAAGAUACAAUAUGACAUGUUUUGUCUAACACUUUAUUAUAAUUUGUUCAUGGGUAAACAAUUCACUUUAAUGAAUUUAGUAAAUAAU
rnacentral:lncRNA from 1 species